rnacentral:rRNA from 1 species
CCUACGGGGGACAGCAGUGGGGAAUAUUGCACAAUGGGGGAAACCCUGAUGCAGCGACGCCGCGUGAGUGAAGAAGUAUUUCGGUAUGUAAAGCUCUAUCAGCAGGGAAGAAAUAGCGACCUUUGGGUCGCCAGACGGUACCUGAUAAAGAAGCACCGGCUAACUACGUGCCAGCAGCCGCGGUAAUACGUAGGGGGCAAGCGGUAUCCGGAUUUACUGGGUGUAAAGGGAGCGUAGACGGCAGCGCAAGUCUGAAGUGAAAUGCCGGGGCUUAACCCCGGAACUGCUUUGGAAACUGUGCAGCUAGAGUGCAGGAGAGGUCAGUGGAAUUCCUAGUGUAGCGGUGAAAUGCGUAGAUAUUAGGAGGAACACCAGUGGCGAAGGCGGCUUACUGGACUGUACCUGACGUUGAGGCUCGACAGCGUGGGGAGCAAACAGGAUUAGAUACCCUGGUAGUC